AUGUCUAUGAUGGGAGAAUUAAAAUUCUUCUUAGGUCUUCAAAUUCGUCAACAACGCAAUGGCAUAUUCAUAUCUCAGGAGAAAUACCCCAAGGAUGUACUGAGGAAAUUCGGCAUGCAAGAUUGCAAAGGCGUCAAAAUUCCUACGCCCACAAAUGGCCAUCUGUGCACUGAUGAAAAUGGUAUUGACUUCGAUCAUAAGGUAUAUCGCUCCAUGAUUGGUUCUUUAUUGUACUUAUGUACAUCUAGGCCAGAUAUAAUGCUUAGUGUUUGCAUGUGUGCUCGAUUUCAAGCUACACCAAAGGAAUCACACCAUAAGGCUAUGAAGCAUAUUCUUCGAUAUCUAGCUCACACACCAACACUUGGAUUAUGGUACCCCAAGGGCUCGGCUUUUGAUCUCAUUGGAUAUUCUGACUCUGAGUAUGUUAGUGAUCGUGUGGACCGCAAGUCAACAUCUGGUACAUGUCAUUUCCUCGGACGAUCUUUGGUCUGUUGGUCCUCGAAGAAACAGAACUGCGUAUCACUAUCUACUGCUGAAGCUGAGUAUAUUGCCGUUGGUUCUUGUUGUGCUCAAUUGCUAUGCAUGAAGCAAACUCUCAAGGACUACGGCGUCAACAUGAAGAAUGUGCCUCUCUUCUGUGACAAUGAGAGUGCCAUCAAGAUUGCUCACAACCCAGUUCAGCACUCGAAGACUAAGCACAUUCAGAUUCGUCAUCAUUUUCUUCGUGAUCAUGUGUUGAAGGGAGACAUUUCUAUUGAACAUGUGAAGAAUGAAGAACAGCUAGCCAAUAUCUUCACAAAGCCCUUGGAUGAGAAGAGAUUUAGCAAGUUGCGGUGUGAGCUAAAUAUCCUAGAAUCUUUGAAUGUUCUCUGA
rnacentral:rRNA from 1 species